rnacentral:misc_RNA from 1 species
GAUGAAGAACGUAGCGAAAUGCGAUAAGUAAUGUGAAUUGCAGAAUUCAGUGAAUCAUCGAAUCUUUGAAUGCACAUUGCGCCCGCCAGUAUUCUGGCGGGCAUGCCUGUUCGAGCGUCAUUUCAACCAUCAAGCCCUGCUUGCGUUGGGGUCCUGCGGCUGCCCGCAGGCCCUGAAAACCAGUGGCGGGCUCGCUAGUCACACCGAGCGCAGUAAUACAUCUCGCUUUGGGCGUGCGGCGGGUUCUUGCCGUUAAACACCCCCUUUUUACCAAGGUUGACCUCGGAUCAGGUAGGAAUACCCGCUGAACUUAAGCAUAUCAAUAAGCGGAGGA